UGCACUUAAUGCCCAGUCUUGAGGAUUUCUUUAUAUACCAGUCACAACCUGUCAAUGCAGUCAGGACUCAGAAUGGACAUGAAGGCCCCUGCUCAGCUCCUCCGGCUCCUGUUGCUCUGGUUUCCAGGUGCCAUAUGUGACAUCCUGAUGACUCAGUCUCAAACUUCCCUGUCUGCUUCUCUGAGAGACAGUAUCACCAUCACUUGUCAGGCCAGUCAGGGUAUUAGCAAUUAUGUAAACUGGUUCCAGCAGAAACCAGGAAAAGUUCCUAAGCUCCUUAUCUAUGCUGCAACCUACUUGGCAGAUGGGGUCCCAUCAAGGUUUAGUGGCAGUGGUUCUGGGACAGAUUUUACUCUCACCAUCAGCAGCCUGGAACCUGAAGACAUUGCAACUUACUACUGUUUACAGCAUUAUGAGAAUCCUCCCACAGUGAUACUUUUCAUAACAUAA